rnacentral:rRNA from 1 species
GUGAGUGAUGAAGGUUUUCGGAUCGUAAAACUCUGUUGUUAGGGAAGAACAAGUGCCGUUCGAAUAGGGCGGCACCUUGACGGUACCUAACCAGAAAGCCACGGCUAACUACGUGCCAGCAGCCGCGGUAAUACGUAGGUGGCAAGCGUUGUCCGGAAUUAUUGGGCGUAAAGCGCGCGCAGGCGGUUUCUUAAGUCUGAUGUGAAAGCCCCCGGCUCAACCGGGGAGGGUCAUUGGAAACUGGGGAACUUGAGUGCAGAAGAGGAGAGUGGAAUUCCACGUGUAGCGGUGAAAUGCGUAGAGAUGUGGAGGAACACCAGUGGCGAAGGCGACUCUCUGGUCUGUAACUGACGCUGAGGCGCGAAAGCGUGGGGAGCGAACAGGAUUAGAUACCCUGGUAGUCCACGCCGUAAACGAUGAGUGCUAAGUGUUAGAGGGUUUCCGCCCUUUAGUGCUGCAGCAAAACGCAUUAAGCACUCCGCCUGGGGAAGUACGGUCGCAAGACUGAAAACUCAAAGGAAAUUGACGGGGGCCCGCACAAGCGGUGGAGCAUGUGGGUUUAAUUCGAAAGCAACGCGAAGAACCUUACCAGGUCUUGACAUCCCUCUGACAACCUAGAGAUAGGGGCUUCCCCUUCGGGGGGCAGAGUGACAGGGUGGGUGCAUGGUUUGUCGUCAGCUCGUGUCGUGAGAUGUUGGGUUAAGUCCCGCAACGAGCGCAACCCUUGAUCUUAGUUGCCAGCAUUCAGUUGGGCACUCUAAGGUGACUGCCGGUGACAAACCGGAGGAAGGUGGGGAUGACGUCAAAUCAUCAUGCCCCUUAUGACCUGGGCUACACACGUGCUACAAUGGGCAGAACAAAGGGCAGCGAAGCCGCGAGGCUAAGCCAAUCCCACAAAUCUGUUCUCAGUUCGGAUCGCAGUCUGCAACUCGACUGCGUGAAGCUGGAAUCGCUAGUAAUCGCGGAUCAGCAUGCCGCGGUGAAUACGUUCCCGGGCCUUGUACACACCGCCCGUCACACCACGAGAGUUUGUAACACCCGAAGUCGGUGAGGUAACCUU